GAUGAACGCUGGCGGCGUGUCUAAGGCAUGCAAGUCGAACGCCCCGCAAGGGGAGUGGCAGACGGGUGAGUAACACGUGGGAACGUACCCUUUGGUUCGGAAUAACUUGGGGAAACUCAAGCUAAUACCGGAUAAGCCCUUAUGGGGAAAGGUUUACUGCCGAAGGAUCGGCCCGCGUCUGAUUAGCUAGUUGGUGAGGUAAUGGCUCACCAAGGCGACGAUCAGUAGCUGGUCUGAGAGGAUGAUCAGCCACACUGGGACUGAGACACGGCCCAGACUCCUACGGGAGGCAGCAGUGGGGAAUAUUGGACAAUGGGGGCAACCCUGAUCCAGCCAUGCCGCGUGAGUGAUGAAGGCCUUAGGGUUGUAAAGCUCUUUUACCCGGGACGAUAAUGACUGUACCGGGAGAAUAAGCCCCGGCUAACUUCGUGCCAGCAGCCGCAGUAA
rnacentral:rRNA from 1 species